rnacentral:rRNA from 1 species
UACGAAGGGGGCUAGCGUUGUUCGGAAUUACUGGGCGUAAAGCGCACGUAGGCGGAUUUGUAAGUCAGGGGUGAAAUCCCGGUGCUCAACCUCGGAACUGCCUUUGAUACUGCAAGUCUUGAGACCGGAAGAGGUGAGUGGAAUUCCUAGUGUAGAGGUGAAAUUCGUAGAUAUUAGGAAGAACACCAGUGGCGAAGGCGGCUCACUGGUCCGGUUCUGACGCUGAGGUGCGAAAGCGUCGGGAGCAAACAGG